rnacentral:rRNA from 1 species
UCCGUAGGUGAACCUGCAGCAGGAUCAUUCUCGGAACGCUUUAAAACCUUGCUUCGGCAAGGAUAGCUGUCUUGUGGGUUCUCCAGCGUGGUACGAACCCUCUUGUGCGGUGCUAUGGUCGCUGCUCUUCCUCUUUGAGGUUGUCAGGGAGGAUCCCUGACGUUCACAGUCCGCUCAGCGAUGGAUAGCUUGGCUCGGUGAUCGAUGAAGGACGCAGCAAAGUGCGAUAAGCGUCACGACUUGCAGAUUCCCGAGAGCUGACAAGUCUCUGAAUGCAAAUAGCGGCCGAUUUCAAGUCGGUCAUGUGCUGCAGAGUGUUGUUGCAAUGGCUAAUCAUCAAACGCAUCUCCGUUCGGAUGAAGCGUUGGAUUUGUCAAUAGCACCGAAGGUCGAAGCGCGAUCUUCCAUGCUAAUGAUGAAAUCCCCGCGCAAGACGAAGUGCGGCCAGACUAUGCCUGGAUGACGCUGUCUGUCUUGCUUGCGGCCUCGCUCUCUAUCUCAACCUCUGCAGUGCAGGAGAACCCGCUGAACUUAAGCAUAUCAAUAAGGCGGGAGGGGAAGGUCGGACUGGCCAAGGGCACACAGGGGGGGAUA